rnacentral:lncRNA from 1 species
GCUAUGAUCAUGCCUCCAGAGGCUGAGGUGGGAGGAUGACUUGAGCCUGGGAGGUCCAGGCUGCAGUGAGCUAUAAUCAUGCCACUGCACUCCAGCCUGGACAACAGAGCAAGACUCUGUCUCAAAAUAACAACAACAAAAAAAGAGGCAGCAUAGACUUCAGAAAGGUGGGUCUGGGAAAAAUGAAUCAUAUACCUCUCCAGUGGUCUCAGACACCCCAACAUAGAUACCAUCAGAUCCCCUAAACACAGGCACCCAGGCAGGUGCCAUCAGAUACCCAAAACAGGCUUCCAGGUAACCCCCAAAUAUGUCAGACACUCCACAUAGGUCCAGCAGAUACCCCCAAACACAUACUAGAUAACCCCAAUACAGAUGCUGUCAGAUACCCUCAAACAGGUGCUCAGAGUCUGAAACACAUACCAUACCCUCCCCUAUCCACUUCCACACAGGUGCUAUUUGGCAGAUGUGGAUAGGCCAGAUGCUUCCCCCAGCACCAGCAACCUCUCAAUUGCCAUCAGACACCCCAGUCUUGAGGUUGCCUGUCUAAUCCAAGUCCUGCCACAGGGGAGGCAGUUGAACAGUAACCAGGAGUCGAGCAGAACAGCUCUCACCAAGGUUGGCUGGUCAGCCAGGCCUAGAAGAUCUCCCCAUGGCCAGGCAAGACGGCUCAUGCCUGUAAUCCUAACACUUUGGGAGUCUGAGGAGGGAGGAUCACUUGAGUCCAGGAGCUUUGAGAUCAGCCUGGGAAACCUCGCAUGACCCAGUCUCUAUUUUAGAAAAAAAGAUUUCCCCAAACCCAAUCACUUCAAAACAUGCACAAUAUGUUGUUGAGAGUCCCCAGUUCAGAAGCUGGAGGGUUGCGUCCCCAGGUGGACUAGCCUUCAGUUCAAGUCCAACCUUCAUGGUCCAGAGGAAGGGAGCAUGUUCAGGGAAUUGGAUGUCCCAGAAAUGCAAGACGUAAUUCACCAGGCACCCUACUGCAGCUGAGGUCAGAAACUCUAACACGGGAGUUUAUGAGGGCUCAAUGGUUGGGCAGCUGUGUAGCUGUGGCUUAUGGACUUAGGGGCAUGAACCUUAUUUUUUUUCCUUUUUUUUUUUUUUUUUUUUUUUUUGAGACAGGAUCUCACUCUGUCACUUAGGCUGGAAGUGCAGUGGCACAAUCAUAGCUCAUUGCAGCUUCCAUCUCCUGGGCUCAAGUUGUCCUCCCACCUCAGCCUCCCAAGUAGCUGGGACCACAGGCACACACCACCACGUCUGGCUAAUUUUUUUGUAGAGACAGAGUUUCGCCAUGUUGCCUAGAUUGGUCUCGAACUCCUGAGCUCAAGUGAUCUGCCCGCCUGGGCCUCCUAUGAUGCCAGGAUUGUAGGUGUGAGCCAUCAUGCCCGGCCUUUGAACCUUAUUUCUUUCUUUCUCUUUUUCUUUCUUUUUUUUUUUUUUUCUUUCUUGAGACAGAGUCUCACUCUGUCACCCAGGCUGCAGUGUAGUGGUACCAUCUAGGCUCACUGCAGCCUCCACCUCCUGGGUUCAAGUGAUCCUCCUGCCUCAGCCUCCCGAGUGCUGGAAUUACAGCUUUGCAGAGGCAAGCGUCUAUGAUUUAAAUGCUAGCUUUGCCGCUUACUGGCUGAAAGACUUUAAAUGACAAUAACAAAAAAUGAAGAGGAUGAUGAUGAUGAUACAAGAUACCAUUGCCCGUGUGUACCAGACAUCAUGCUAAGGUCUUUGUCACCUGGACUGGAGUGCAGUGGUGGGAUCACAACUCACUGCAGCCUCAAUGUCCCAGGCUCAAACAAUCCUCCUGCCUCAGCCUCCCGAGUAGCUGGGACU